CCUCCAGCUGUUUUUGGACUACAACUCCCAUCAUCCCUAGCUGGUAAGACCAGCGAUCAGGGAUGAUGGGAAUUGUAGUCUGAAAACAGCUGGAG
rnacentral:miRNA from 1 species